rnacentral:rRNA from 1 species
UACGGAGGAUGCAAGCGUUAUCCGGAUUUAUUGGGUUUAAAGGGUGCGUAGGCGGGGCAGCAAGUCAGUGGUGAAAUCUUUCGGCUUAACUGAAAAACUACCAUUGAAACUGUUGUCCUUGAGUAUAUUUGGAGUGGGCGGAAUGUGUCAUGUAGCGGUGAAAUGCUUAGAUAUGACACAGAACACCAAUCGCGAAGGCAGCUCACUAAACUAUAACUGACGCUGAAGCACGAAAGCGUGGGGAUCAAACAGGAUUAGAUACC